rnacentral:RNase_P_RNA from 1 species
CCAGACGGCCGGGCAGCCGCUGGUGCGCGGGUAACUGCGUACUGGAGGAAAGUCCGGGCUCCAGGGAAACAGGGCGACGGCUAACGGCCGCCCGGCGUGAGCCGAGGGAAAGUGCCACAGAAAGCAAACCGCCUCCCCUUCGGGAGAGGUAAGGGUGAAAGGGUGGGGUA